AUUGAACGCUGGCGGCAUGCCUUACACAUGCAAGUCGAACGGUAACAGGUCUUCGGAUGCUGACGAGUGGCGAACGGGUGAGUAAUACAUCGGAACGUGCCUAGUAGUGGGGGAUAACUACUCGAAAGAGUGGCUAAUACCGCAUGAGAUCUACGGAUGAAAGCAGGGGAUCGCAAGACCUUGUGCUACUAGAGCGGCCGAUGGCAGGUUAGGGAGUUGGUGGGAUAAAAGCUUACCAAGCCGACGAUCUGUAGCUGGUCUGAGAGGACGAUCAGCCACACUGGGACUAAGACACGGCACAGACUCAUACGGGAGGCAGCAGUGGGGAAUUUUGGACAAUGGGCGAAAGCCUGAUCCAUCAAUGCCGCGUGCAAGAUGAAGGCCUUCGGGUUGUAAACUGCUUUUGUACGGAACGAAAAGCCCCGGGUUAAUACCCGGGGGUCAUGACGGUACCGUAAGAAUAAGCACCGGCUAACUACGUGCCAGCCGCCGCAGUAA
rnacentral:rRNA from 1 species